rnacentral:snRNA from 1 species
GUCUUGCUUCGGCAGCACAUAGACUAAAAUUGGAAUGAUAUAGAGAAGAUUAGAAUGGACCCUGCACAAGGAUGACACGCAAAUUUGUGAAGCAUUCCAUAUUUAA